UCACCCAUUUGUCUGAGUCUCUUAGAUGUGAAUUAAGUUUGGUUCAAAAUAGAGUUCAAAUCUGAUUUGAAUUCGUGAUAAGAUCAAAUCCUAUUUGAACCUAAACCAAAGUAUUCAAACUUUAUCCUUAUCUUGAUGGGAUGCCACCUUAAGAAGGGGUAUUUUUUGUGCACCCCAUCAGAUUACUUUUGGCAUGAGAGGACCUCAGGGUUUAUGUAUGAAAAAUCUGAGAGAGAGGUGGGCGUCUGUGUGUGAGAAAAUGAGGAAGAAGGUUUCUCUUUGGGCAUG
rnacentral:lncRNA from 1 species